rnacentral:tmRNA from 1 species
GGGGGCGACUGGUUUCGACGCGAUAGCUCUGAGAGAGGAAGCAGGCCGUGGUCUCCUCGCCACGUUAAACAGGGGUACCGUCAAAUUGAAUUGACAACAACAAGUCUUUCGAGCCUUCACUGGCUCUCGCUGCUUAGUUAAACUGACAGCGCGUCAAUCGAGGGAGUUCCCCGCCCCUCGUGCGGCGUCAUCUUAGGGGAAUGCGUCUGAGCACGUAGCCGGUAUGGCUCAGACUAAGAUCGAACCGACUAGGAACCCGAGGGCGCGUCGCCGCGCGCAAGGGAACCGAAUCUCAACCGGCGACUGAGCCUGGAGAUGCCGAUCAGGGAGCUUUCGUGGACCGGAGUUCGAUUCUCCGCGCCUCCACCA